rnacentral:rRNA from 1 species
UACGAAGGGGGCUAGCGUUGCUCGGAAUCACUGGGCGUAAAGGGUGCGUAGGCGGGUCUUUAAGUCAGGGGUGAAAUCCUGGAGCUCAACUCCAGAACUGCCUUUGAUACUGAAGAUCUUGAGUUCGGGAGAGGUGAGUGGAACUGCGAGUGUAGAGUGAAAUUCGUAGAUAUUCGCAAGAACACCAGUGGCGAAGGCGGCUCACUGGCCCGGAACUGACGCUGAGGUGCGAAAGCGUGGGGAGCAAACAGGGAUUAAGAAACC